rnacentral:rRNA from 1 species
AUUGAACGCUAGCGGCAGGCCUAACACAUGCAAGUCGAACGAGUGGCGGACGGGUGAGUAAUGUCUGGGAAACUGCCCGAUGGAGGGGGAUAACUACUGGACACGGUAGCUAAUACCGCAUACCAUCGGAUGUGCCCAGAUGGGAUUAGCUAGUGGGUGGGGUAACGGAUCACCUAGGCGACGAUCCCUAGCUGGGCUGAGAGGAUGACCAGCCACACUGGAACUGAGACACGGUCCAGACGCCAACGGGAGGCAGCAGAGGGGAAUAUAGCACAAGGGGCGCAAGCCUGAUGCAGCCAUGCCGCGUGUAUGAAGAAGGCCUUCGGGUUGUAAAGUACUUUCAGCGAGGAGGCGUUAUUCGAAGAAGAAGCACCGGCUAACUCCGUGCCAGCAGCCGCGGUAAUAC